CGGGGAGCAGACAGCAGUGUGUGAGAAGGGAAAAGAGCCAGACUACGGGGACCCCCAGCCGCCCGCCAGCCCCUCCCCUGCAGCCUCUCCUGCCAGACGCGGAGGAUCCUUAGCUGCCCCAUGCAGGGAGUGUGGCCAGGCGAGGCUCCGUGGAGCGCAGGAGCUGCAGCAGCAGGAGAGCCAGGAGGAGGCUGUGCUGUUGCCCAGGCAAGCAGAGACGCCGGCUGUACGCAGUCCUGGGCCACGUAUCGGGUGUGGUCUUAGGAAAUGCCACAGGUCCGUGAACAGCAUGUGCAGAAGCAACGCCCAGAGGCCUCUCCACUCCCCAGAGGCUGGUGUGGGAGGCAGCUGUGGCACCAGGCGCUGCUGCAUCCUGCAAGUGCACUGCCCCGUUGUUAGUCAUGGACGGCAUCCAGAAUUUCUCCAGCAUACUUGGGCCCACCAAAUAGUCACAGCAGCACAAACAGCCCAGCAAAUCAGAGGCCCUGGGGGACAGGACCCAGAGCUGGGAGGGUACAUAGGACAAGCCUGGCUCCCUGCGUGCCUGGAGGGUGGCCCCCUUGCUCUGGCCACUGUGACUCUGACUGCCUGUCCUGGAACACGUGCCUGCUAUGGUGUGAGGGUACACAGGGUAGCCUGAGCCCUACCUGAACUUCAGAGACCAGGGGCACAGGGGGAUCCCUGGGCUGAUAUCAGAAACAAGGGCAUCAGUGCUGGUGAGAAAGUAAGGGGAGGCCCUGGCCCCCUGCGAAGGAUCCCGUAAGCCCCCAGGUAGCUGCUCCCAGGACAUGGCACUUGGCCCCCCUCAUCCUCACAGUCUCGGACCUGACUCCUCCACGUAGCCAACACCAUAGGAUGUCAACGGUGUCUUUAAAGCUGUGAGGCUCCCAAACAAACUCUCCUCUUCCCACCCCAGUCACCUCCAUUCCCAGGACAUACUCGGAGCUCUCACACAAGCGGGACCGCCGUGGUCCUCAGCCGACAGUCCUGGGUUGCAGCCAGAGACUACACUGCAGUCUCAGCCCUCUCCUACCUGCCUGCCUCCACUCUAAUCUCCACUCCCACGUGGUGCUCUGUCCGACGAAGCUGUGACUCCAGGAAGGAAGUGGCUCGCUGGUCAGGAGUGGCCCGCUCCAGGCCGUGCAUUCAGGAACUUUCCAUGGAAGGAGCCGGGUACACAGGUGGAUGAGCAGGACACCAGCCAGAGGCUGGAAGACACUCCAGGGUCUUGGCAGUGGGAGCCUCCAGGGCCCUGAAGGUUUAUUUGCGCCACUGUGCAAGGGGAGCUGGUGCCUGGCUCCAUAUGGAGAACUUCCCUUCCCCCAGGACAGAGCAAGCUCCUUCCUGUGAGAUUUCCAAUAAAGCUACUCAGAACUUA